ACCAUACCAAUCUGUAAAUAAGAAGCAAAAGUGCAAGGAAAACAUAGCUCACACAAAGGACCGAGAAUUAGUGGCAUAAAUUACCAAAAGCAACCGACUGUCCUAUAGUUGAAAUCAAAUUCUAAAGUGGAGGCUGAAUAUGGUAGAUACCCGGCAUCUUUUUAUUUUAAAACUUGUAGCGCCAGGAAUUACUCAGGGACUUUGUACACUGCAACAAUUUAGUGUUUUCUUGUACAUCACCGAGGACAUAUAAUUGUUAGCUAAAGUUCUCUCAACAACCUCCAUCUGUAAAUUCAGUAAAUUUGUACUGAAUUGACAAGGAUCAAUAUGUAGCUGAGCACCCUCUCAUAUUGAUCGUUGUCUACCUAUACACGGGGCAAAUUAGUCACCAAGUUCCCAUCUGAGAUGAAUAUAUGUACCACAAUCAAUAGGGAUUGCUCUUGAUGGACACGAUGAUCCAUAGCAUACUGCAAAAACUGCUAACUUCUUCAGGAAUUGAUUGUCGAUGGCCGUCUUGUAGGAAGACACGGCCUGCUGCAAUGCAAGCUUCUCCCUGCAAAUUCCGGUGCAGGCCCAUCGAACACAAAAAAACGUGGUGGUCAAGCUCGGAUGAGAACUUCUCCGCCUUGUAAAACCGGCGUGAAUCAACCUAUCUCUCACAGAUC
rnacentral:lncRNA from 1 species